GGAAGAAAAUUGGAGAAAAAAGUAAAAGUGGAGCUGCUACAAUUUCGGAAGAUAAUAUAUGGUUUGGGUAUAAUAUGAUGAAGUUUCUCGUGGAAAAUAACAUUUCUAAAGGCAGUCGCAGUACAUUUGAGGUAAAAGAAACAUCGAAAAUGAACGCGUGCGUAGCAAUUCAAUAUUAAGCAGUCAAAUCUGCAUGCCGGCUGUGGGUUUUCGACGGACUACUCGGGCGUGUGCGUUGUCACUUGUAUUAUAUAUACGUAGCCGGCAAAAACAAAAAUCGUUAUGGAUUCGCCUCCACGUACGUACAACCGUAACUGACCUGCGAAUCCCGUUUCAUUUUAUACUUUUUUUGCACACCCGAUUUAAUUACACCGACUCACUAUAGUGUCCUACAAUCAGUAGCCCAUAUGGAUCACGAUGCCUGUAGUUAUAAUAACAGCUUGUGAUUUUGUACUAGGUAAACAUUUUUUUCCACUUCCGGAAAUUCUCGUUCACUUAAAUCACGUAUGUAUCAUAUUUUUAUGUCUAUAUAGAUUCAAAAUAUCUAUUAUUACCAAUCAAAGAGCAUAUAAUAUCCACAUAAUGUCGACCGGACAGCUUAAUGUUUAAACCCCAAAAUGGGUUUUAAAAUAAUAUAUUAUACUAGGUAAUAGGUAGUAUGUUCCUACUUAUAUUGUAUAUUUUUGAA